ensembl:lncRNA
CCUCACUUGCCCCUCGACCCCGCACAUCAUUUCACUUCUGGGCUGCGCCCACACCCCCCCAUCUUGGCGGAGAGAGCUUCCCGGGCCAUGAAGGAGGAGCGGAUCCGGGCAUCCUGGGCUUCCCCACUCCAGCUGCCUGGCUUCCUGAUAGAUGUCUUGCAGAUUGCGGGCAGACUUAACUCCUUGCUUGCCAGCCUGGUGGACUCCGAGGUGGUGACGCCGAGAGGAAGGGAAGAAGGGAGGGACUCCCGACCUCACUCCCACCCACAGUUUAACACGUUGUGGUCCGGAACGCAAUCUCAGAACUUGGGCUGGUCAGAGCCCUGGAAGGCUGCCUGGUACUCAAGGAGCAACACGAAACCGGGCACCUGAGAGAAUCCUUCUCUGACCAACGCCACCUACUUAUUCAUUCAACAAAUAUUUAUUGAGGACCUACUAUGUGCCAGGCUCUGGACUAGACAAUAGGUAUAUUUUGGUGAACAAGACAGAUGUGGUCCUUGCCCUCACAGACAACAAGUGAACAGUUGACUUCAAGUUGGCAUCAUGAAGGCUUGGGGAGCACUUCAGAGAUGCCUAUCCUGGACUUGGGAGUCUUGGAAAGUUUCCUGCAGGGAGCCACAUCUGAGCUGAGCCUCACUGCAGCCUAAGGUGCGGUUCUGUCCAGGCGGACAGUUCAUCUUGCUGGAGGUUUAAUGAUAGAACAAGAUCCCAGCAAGGGAUCUCACACACGUUAUGAGAGAGCUCUAAGGCUCCCUUCCCAAACUACCCAUUUAAAUCAAUUCUCCCAGUCCCAAAAGAAGGAAGACUGGGGGGAGAGUGAAGAGUCUGUGACCUUGGCCUAGUCACACCCUGUCUCUGGGCCUUAGUUUCUUCAAAUGUAGAACAAGAGGGUUGGAUGAUUUUAUCUCCAGGCUCUUUAUCAGAUAAGAUAGCAGUUAAAUAGCAGUGGGGGGGUGGGGUAUCGAGAGAAAGACACUCACCGAGCUCUGGUCUGCUUGCGGGGGAGGUCAGAGUUCCUAGGCUCAGGAGAGGCUAUCAGAGGCAGGGCCCCAGAGAAGGGCACACGCGUCACCUCCUACUCCUCACUGCCCAAGUGGUCUGGCAGUUCUGAGUCCUGGGAACGUUUACUUCUUGCCAUCAACUGAAGGCAAGAGCCUUUCUGAGAUUGUGCUGGGAGGGGUGAGCCUCAGGGGGACAACACUCACAGAAUAUCUUUAGUUACUGCAUUAACUUACUCUUCUAUGUAGCACUAUAGAGCUUUUAUUUUUCAGAGACGGAAGGUUCACAGCUGAGGAAACUGAGGCCCAGAGUGGUGAAAGGACUUGACUAAAAUCACGUGGUUGGGGAGUGGUAGCUGGAAGAGGUGCCCAGGUCUCCUGAUUCCAUGUCCAGACUCUUUCCACGAGACCACGGCAGCACUGGCGUCCAACUUUCCAUUGGACUGCUUCCUAUGUCUGGCUCCUUUCCCUGUGAGGCCAUAAGAUCUGGGAAGGCAGCCUUGGCCUCCUUAUCUGGAUGUCCCCCAAAGCCUGGUGCAGGGCUCCAAACAGAGGGAGGGGUGCUCAGAACUUCCAGCCUCCAGACCCCCCUUUUUUCUCUCAUCAUGACCCUAUUUAUAUGCAUGUAACUUUCUGGGCCAAUCUGAAAAGGCAUUCCUGGAUUGUGGAUGAAGCCCUGGGCCAGGCAUAUUCCCAGUCCCAGCCAGGCCUAAAGCCUGCUGUGUGACUUCCAACAAGCUGAUUAACUUCGCUGGGCCUCAUUUCUCCAUCUGUCAAGACACGUAACAGAUUCUAACUCCUAGGGCAUUUGUAACUCGAAAUCUCAGAUUAGGAAGUAGUUUUAAAAGGUAGAACUCUGAGGUAAGGGAAGAAGCUUAAUGUUUCAGUCUUUUUGCCAGAUCCCACAGCCUCAGGACCACAUCUAUUCCAUCUGCAGGGACUGGGGUGCUGCCUAAUGGGGCACCUACACCCUGACACCAUGCUGGAUCCUGUGAAAGUUAUAGAACCCUGAAUAUAUGUUAUGUAACCUGAAUAUAUUCUGGGGUCCCAUGCCCCAAAUACCAAAAAUAAUUUCAGAAAGGAAUCCC